rnacentral:lncRNA from 1 species
AAAAAAAAGACUGAGAAAUGGCAAACUACUGGCGAUCUGGACAACCAUGAUUCCUCUAUAUCGGUGGGGCAUCCAUCUUUGACCUUCAGGCUUAGGAGAUCUGAUAGACUUAUCUGCAAAGCAGUAAUUUUGAAGGACUGUCCUACCUUGUCUCUGCAAAGCAGGUCAAUCAACUUCCCAGUGUCCUGCUAGUCCAUGGUCUGGACAGCCUGUUGUCAGCAGUCAAGAUCAAGAUGUAGAACAUUUGGCUCCUGCAGCCUCGUGUCUGCCUGGAUGAUGUCAUGCUCCUGCCUUGAUGAUAAUGGACUGGACCUCUG